rnacentral:rRNA from 1 species
GAUGAACGCUGGCGGCGUGCCUAAUACAUGCAAGUCGAGCGAACGGACGAGAAGCUUGCUUCUCUGAUGUUAGCGGCGGACGGGUGAGUAACUCGUGGAUAACCUACCUAUAAGACUGGGAUAACUUCGGGAAACCGUAGCUAAUACCGGAUAAUAUUUUGAACCGCAUGGUUCAAAAGUGAAAGACGGUCUUGCUGUCACUUAUAGAUGGAUCCGCGCUGCAUUAGCUAGUUGGUAAGGUAACGGCUUACCAAGGCAACGAUGCAUAGCCGACCUGAGAGGGGGAUCGGCCACACUGGACCUGAGACACGGUCCAGACUCCUACGGGAGGCAGCAGUAGGGAAUCUUCCGCAAUGGGCGAAAGCCUGACGGAGCAACGCCGCGUGAGUGAUGAAGAUCUUCGGAUCGUAAAACUCUGUUAUUAGGGAAGAACAUAUGUGUAAGUAACUGUGCACAUCUUGACGGUACCUAAUCAGAAAGCCACGGCUAACUACGUG